GGUUGAUUGGUCAAGGGGUCAAGACGUCGCCCUCUCACGGCGAAAACAUGGGUUCGAUUCCCAUAUCAACUG
rnacentral:tRNA from 1 species